GCGAAGGUGGCGGAAUUGGCAGACGCACUAGCUUGAGGUGCUAGCGGGUAACACCGUGCGGGUUCAAGUCCCGCCCUUCGCA
rnacentral:tRNA from 4 species